rfam:Stegodyphus mimosarum contig38494, whole genome shotgun sequence.
GCCUUCGUGGUGUAGUGGUCAGCACGCUGGGCGCGUAUUCCAGAGGUCCGUGGUUCGAGUCCCGAGGAGGGCA